CAGGGAGACAACACAAUGAUUUUGAUGCCUGAGUGCUUUUAUUCUUAGGCCGAAAUCCUGUCACCUUAGGUCGAUCGGUACCUCAGCUUUGAAGUCAAGAAUCAGCAGCAAUGUUGAUUGCUUGAUGGAGAUUUUCAGUUUCUAAACUUUGUCUAGGUCACACCCCAAAAGGGAUGAGACUCCUGGGCCAUUAGCUCAGGUGGUUAGAGCGCACCCCUGAUAAGGGUGAGGUCCCUGGUUCAAGUCCAGGAUGGCCCAUUCGGUGUUGGGGGUUUAGCUCAGUUGGUAGAGCGCCUGCUUUGCAAGCAGGAUGUCAGGAGUUCGAGUCUCCUAACCUCCACUGACCGAACUUUGUCCCCAGCUUCAUUUAAUGGAGUUGAGCUCGAUUGGAGUGUGAUUUAGAUGUGUCCGCUGGAAGACCCCAGCUUCCUGUCAUUCUAAGAAUUGAUCGAAUCAAUUUUUAGUUGAUAAGAUGCUGGGCUCGAACUGAGCAAUCAGUUUGGAGUUCUAGCAGAACCUUGACAACUGCAUAGGUGAGUCUGGAAAGAAUAAAGCAUCUCAUGGAUGCAUCAUUCUUUUUUGGAUGAUGUUUGAUUCUUGAGCAAGAGCCGAGACUCCACCACGUUCUUCUGAUUGUGUCGAGCAAUUGGGAGUUUGAUCUUUGAUUCAGCAAUGAAUCAGAGAGAAUCCGUUUCAACGACGGCAAGCGUGAUGGAGAUUAAUU
rnacentral:tRNA from 1 species